rnacentral:piRNA from 1 species
UAUAGACACUACACACCUCAAAUGGCAGG